CGCAGCCGCGGUAAUUCCAGCUCCAAUAGCGUAUAUUAAAGUUGUUGCAGUUAAAAAGCUCGUAGUUGAACUUCAGGCCUGUCCAGACGGUCCGCCUUAAUUGGUGUGUACUGUCCUUGGGUGGGUCCUACCUUCUGGCGAAGCGGCAUGGCCUUAAUUGGUUGUGUCGGGGAACCAGGACUUUUUACUGUGAAAAAAUUAGAGUGUUCAAAGCAGGCAAAUAUGCUCGAAUACAUUAGCAUGGAAUAAUGGAAUAGGACGAUGGUUCUAUUUUGUUGGUUCUAGGACCGUUGUAAUGAUUAAUAGGGAUAGUUGGGGGCAUUAGUAUUCAAUUGUCAGAGGUGAAAUUCUUGGAUUUAUUGAAGACUAACUACUGCGAAAGCAUUUGCCAAGGAUGUUUUCAUUAAUCAAGAACGAAAGUUAGGGGAAUCGAAGACGAUCAGAUACCGUCGUAGUCUUAACCAUAAACUAUGCCGACUAGGAAUCGGGCGAUGUUGACAAAAUGACUCGCUCGGCACCU
rnacentral:rRNA from 1 species